CCUACGGGGGGCUGCAGUGGGGAAUAUUGCACAAUGGGCGCAAGCCUGAUGCAGCCAUGCCGCGUGUGUGAAGAAGGCCUUCGGGUUGUAAAGCACUUUCAGCGGGGAGGAAGGCGUUAAGGUUAAUAACCUUGGCGAUUGACGUUACCCGCAGAAGAAGCACCGGCUAACUCCGUGCCAGCAGCCGCGGUAAUACGGAGGGUGCAAGCGUUAAUCGGAAUUACUGGGCGUAAAGCGCACACAGGCGGUCUGUCAAGUCGGAUGUGAAAUCCCCGGGCUCAACCUGGGAACUGCAUUCGAAACUGGCAGGCUAGAGGCUUGUAGAGGGGGGUAGAAUUCCAGGUGUAGCGGUGAAAUGCGUAGAGAUCUGGAGGAAUACCGGUGGCGAAGGCGGCCCCCUGGACAAAGACUGACGCUCAGGUGCGAAAGCGUGGGGAGCAAACAGGAUUAGAUACCCCUGUAGUC
rnacentral:rRNA from 1 species